rnacentral:rRNA from 2 species
UGCCUACGGGGGGCAGCAGUGGGGAAUAUUGGGCAAUGGGGGAAACCCUGACCCAGCAACGCCGCGUGAAGGAAGAAGGUUUUCGGAUUGUAAACUUCUGUCCUUGGUGAAGAGAAGAAGACGGUAGCCAAGGAGGAAGCCCCGGCUAACUACGUGCCAGCAGCCGCGGUAAUACGUAGGGGGCAAGCGUUGUCCGGAAUGAUUGGGCGUAAAGGGCGCGUAGGCGGCUUUAUAAGUCUGGAGUGAAAGUCCUGUUUUCAAGGGAGGAAUUGCUUUGGAAACUAUAGAGCUUGAGUGCAGGAGAGGUUAUCGGAAUUCCCGGUGUAGCGGUGAAAUGCGUAGAUAUCGGGAGGAACAUCGGUGGCGAAGGCGGGUAACUGGACUGCAACUGACGCUGAGGCGCGAAAGUGUGGGGAGCAAACAGGAUUAGAUACCCCUGUAGUC